ACGGGGGGGGGCAAGCGUUGUUCGGAAUUACUGGGCGUAAAGGGCUUGUAGGCGGCCAACUAAGUCCGACGUGAAAUCCCCAGGCUCAACCUGGGAACUGCGUCGGAUACUGGAUGGCUUGAAUUCGGGAGAGGGAUGCAGAAUUCCAGGUGUAGCGGUGAAAUGCGUAGAGAUGCGGAGGAACACCGAUGGCGAAGGCAGCCCCCUGGGUCGACACUGACGCUCAGGCACGAAAGCGUGGGGAGCAAACAGGA
rnacentral:rRNA from 1 species